GCCCUCGAUGAUCAGUGGUGAUCGCCUUGAAUACAUAAGGUGCAAAAGAAUAUCACGAGGAUGUGCGGGUUCGAUUCCUGCCGAGGGCG